AUUGAACGCUGGCGGCAUGCCUAACACAUGCAAGUCGAGCGGCAGCAGGGAUCUUGGCACUGGGUUCAGCGUGGGGCGGGUGAGUGAUGCAUAUGAAUAUGCCUGCUGGUGUGGGAUAAAGUCCGGAGACGGGCGCUAUAAUCGCAUACGUCCUGUGCGAGAGAGAGGGGGAUCUUCUGACCUCACGCUAUCAGAUGAUCCUAGGUCGGAUUAGCUAGUUGGUGGGGUAAAGGCCUACCAAGGCGACGAUCAGUAACUGGUCUGAGAGGAUGAUCAGUCACACUGGAACUGAGACACGGUCCAGACUCCUACGGGAGGCAGCAGUGGGGAAUUUUGGACAAUGGGCGAAAGCCUGAUCCAGCAAUGCCGCGUGUGUGAAGAAGGUCUUCGGAUUGUAAAGCACUUUUAGUUGGGAAGAAGGGCAGUGAGUUAAUACGGUGCUGUGUUGACGUUACCGGAAGAAUAAGCACCGGCUAACUACGUG
rnacentral:rRNA from 1 species